rnacentral:rRNA from 1 species
UACGUAGGGUGCGAGCGUUGUCCGGAAUUAUUGGGCGUAAAGAGCUUGUAGGCGGUCUGUCGCGUCUGCUGUGAAAAUCCGGGGCUCAACCCCGGACUUGCAGUGGGUACGGGCAGACUAGAGUGUGGUAGGGGAGACUGGAAUUCCUGGUGUAGCGGUGAAAUGCGCAGAUAUCAGGAGGAACACCGAUGGCGAAGGCAGGUCUCUGGGCCACUACUGACGCUGAGGAGCGAAAGCGUGGGUAGCAAACAGG